GACGGGGCCCCGGCCGGGCCCGCGGACGAGGGAGCAGUACCCGCACCAGACAAGACUGACUCGGA
rnacentral:ncRNA from 1 species